rnacentral:sRNA from 1 species
ACCAUAUUGCGAAAUGAAGUGCUAACAGAACAAAGAUCAUGGAUGAUUAGCAUUGCCCUUUAUCUUAAUCUCAAGUUCUAGCUCCUUGUGUCUUAGGUCAAGCUCAAACCGCUUAUUCUGAAGCAUCAUUUGUUCAUUCUCCAACGCCAACUUUUCCAAUUCCAAGUCCUUGUUCUUCCUGAACAUCUCCCACUUGAGACGUUGCUUUGCGAGUUGCACAGCCUUGGUUUCAAUCUGCAAACGAUGUUUUUGAAUCUCUGCUGCUUUCAGAGCCAAGUCUUUUUGCACCAAAGCCAAAUCACAUCCAUCUGGAAAGGGUUUGUUGAUAUCCAACACGUCAUAGGGAUCAGACCUCCCACUACCAUCAUUCGAGCAUGAGGUGACAAAACCUACAUCACCAUGAUCUACAACAUGCCACAUCCUUUUAUGCAUUGAGGGGCCCCUUAUAUUGGUAUCAACUGCUCGAUGUUCUUCCUCAUUCUCCUCAUAAUCUGAAUCUUCACUCUGAUCAUCAUCUAGUUCAGCAUCUCCACUUGCAUGCCUCAUGAAAUCAUUAUCCUCUUUACAUCUAAGAGCAAGCUGUAGUGACUGCUGAAGUGCGGGAUCUUCAGGCAGACUUAUACGGUUAUUAUUAUGGUAGGAACACAUCUCUUCAUAGAACAAGUGUUUGGAGUUCAGUAUCUUCCUUGCAUCCUCUUUCAUCUUCUCAGAAAUAUCCAUGUGAUCAAGAAGUGAGUGAUUCUCCACAACAUUACAAGCAGUACCCCUUCCAAGGAUAUCUGUUAGUCUUUUGUAUCUCUUAUUAAGGUCAUUGAACUUAUCCUCACACUGCUGUGGCGACACAUGGCAACCUCUCUCGCCCAUGACCUUUGAUAUUGCUUUCCAUUUUCCCUUCUUUUGCAUCAUUGAAUAGUUCCUCCUCCCACCGCCUAAAUCAGCUCCAGGAUCCUCCCCUGUGUAGGAUACUGCAGUAAUCAAAAGCUUCACCAUUGAAUCUGUCCACUUCAUCCGAUGCCAUGGAGAGCCCUUCUUGUCUUUGCCAUCAGCAGCAUCCUCAUUCAUAUCGUGCUCCUCUUCAUCACUCCCAUGGUUCUUUGAGUGGUGUCUGUGGUGAUGGUGAUGAUGGGCAAUCUUCCCAUGUUGUCCUAACUGAACUCCAUCAGAGAUGUUAUCAGGCUCUGUAACCCUAUCCAUAGGAAUGGUAAAAUUCCCUGGUAUCUGAGGCUGGUUGAAGCCCUGAUUUCCUGAGUUUGGAGGAUGCAUUUGCUUGGAGAUACCAUGCAAAUCUAAACUCCCAUAGGAAGGUCCCUGUGUCAUAUUACCAGGUGGGUUGCUGCCUUCCAUUUCCCCAAAGCGAUCACCCAAACACUUCAACUUCUUGUUGGUACCAUAUAAGAUGGACACAGGAGUGCACGAGGAUGCACAUGAAUAU